GCCCUCGUGGUCUAGAGGCCUAGGACGCCGCCCUCUCACGGCGGUAACAGGGGUUCGAAUCCCCUCGAGGGUGCCA
rnacentral:tRNA from 1 species